UACGGAGGGUGCAAGCGUUAUCCGGAUUCACUGGGUUUAAAGGGAGCGUAGGUGGGUCUGUAAGUCAGUGGUGAAAUCUCCGGGCUUAACCUGGAAACUGCCAUUGAUACUAUAGGUCUUGAAUAUUGUGGAGGUUAGCGGAAUAUGUCAUGUAGCGGUGAAAUGCUUAGAUAUGACAUAGAACACCAAUUGCGAAGGCAGCUGGCUACGCAUAUAUUGACACUGAGGCUCGAAAGCGUGGGGAUCAAACAGG
rnacentral:rRNA from 1 species